UAAUACUCCAUAAUAUCCAUUUAUCUCAUGUUAGUUGGAUUAAAGUUCCGGCGGUUGAAGAUGGGCAUGCGUGACAUUAGUUUGUUGGUGAGGUAACGGCUCACCAAGACUACGAUGUCUAGGGGUUCUGAGAGGAUUUUCCCCCACACUGGUACUGAGACACGGACCAGACUCCUACGGGAGGCAGCAGUAAGGAAUAUUGGGCAAUGGACGAAAGUCUGACCCAGCCAUGCCGCGUGCAGGAUGACAGCCCUACGGGUUGUAAACUGCUUUUAUACGGGAAGAAUCCCCUGUACGUGUACAGGGUUGACGGUACCGUACGAAUAAGCAUCGGCUAACUCCGUGCCAGCAGCCGCGGUAAUACGGAGGAUGCAAGCGUUAUCCGGAUUCAUUGGGUUUAAAGGGUGCGUAGGCGGAAUGGUAAGUUAGUGGUGAAAUCCCCCGGCUCAACCGGGGAACUGCCAUUAAUACUGCCGUUCUUGAGUAUAGUUGAAGUGGGCGGAAUGUAUCAUGUAGCGGUGAAAUGCUUAGAUAUGAUACAGAACACCAAUAGCGUAGGCAGCUCACUAAACUAUAACUGACGCUCAGGCACGAAAGCGUGGGGAGCAAACAGGAUUAGAUACCCUGGUAGUCCACGCCGUAAACGAUGAUCACUCGCUGUUGGCGAUACACAGUCAGCGGUAAAGGGAAACCAUUAAGUGAUCCACCUGGGGAGUACGGUCGCAAGAUUGAAACUCAAAGGAAUUGACGGGGGCCCGCACAAGCGGAGGAGCAUGUGGUUUAAUUCGAUGAUACGCGAG
rnacentral:rRNA from 1 species